GGAACAGGCUGCCCAGGGAAGUGGUGGAGUCACCAUCCCUGGAGGUGUUCAAAAAACAUGCAGGCGUGGCACUUCAGGACAUGGUUUAGUGGGCAGGGUAGUGCUGGGUUGAUGGUUGGAAUCGAUGAACCUGGAAGUCU